rnacentral:rRNA from 1 species
ACUUCGGUCUGGUGGCGAGUGGCGAACGGGUGANUAAUGUAUCGGAACGUGCCCAGUAGCGGGGGAUAACUACGCGAAAGCGUAGCUAAUACCGCAUACGCCCUACGGGGGGAAGCAGGGGAUCGCAAGACCUUGCACUAUUGGAGCGGCCGAUAUCGGAUUAGCUAGUUGGUGGGGUAACGGCUCACCAAGGCGACGAUCCGUAGCUGGUUUGAGAGGACGACCAGCCACACUGGGACUGAGACACGGCCCAGACUCCUACGGGAGGCAGCAGUGGGGAAUUUUGGACAAUGGGGGAAACCCUGAUCCAGCCAUCCCGCGUGUGCGAUGAAGGCCUUCGGGUUGUAAAGCACUUUUGGCAGGAAAGAAACGUCAUGGGUUAAUACCCCGUGAAACUGACGGUACCUGCAGAAUAAGCACCGGCUAACUACGUGCCAGCAGCCGCGGUAAUACGUAGGGUGCAAGCGUUAAUCNGAAUUACUGGGCGUAAAGCGUGCGCAGGCGGUUCGGAAAGAAAGAU